rnacentral:rRNA from 1 species
GACGAACGCUGGCGGCGUGCCUAAUACAUGCAAGUUGAGCGCUGAAGAUUGGUACUUGUACCAACUUGAUGAGCAGCGAACGGGUGAGUAACGCGUGGGGAAUCUGCCUUUGAGCGGGGGACAACAUUUGGAAACGAAUGCUAAUACCGCAUAAAAACUUUAAACACAAGUUUUAAGUUUGAAAGAUGCAAUUGCAUCACUCAAAGAUGAUCCCGCGUUGUAUUAGCUAGUUGGUGAGGUAAAGGCUCACCAAGGCGAUGAUACAUAGCCGACCUGAGAGGGUGAUCGGCCACAUUGGGACUGAGACACGGCCCAAACUCCUACGGGAGGCAGCAGUAGGGAAUCUUCGGCAAUGGACGAAAGUCUGACCGAGCAACGCCGCGUGAGUGAAGAAGGUUUUCGGAUCGUAAAACUCUGUUGGUAGAGAAGAACGUUGGUGAGAGUGGAAAGCUCAUCAAGUGACGGUAACUACCCAGAAAGGGACGGCUAACUACGUG